GGCCAGUUAGCUCAGUUGGUUAGAGCGUGGAAUAGAUAACACCAAGGUCAUGGGUUCAGAUCCCAUACUGGUCA